rnacentral:rRNA from 1 species
AGUGAACGCUGGCGGCAGGCCUAACACAUGCAAGUCGAACGGCAGCACAGUAAGAGCUUGCUCUUACGGGUGGCGAGUGGCGGACGGGUGAGGCAUACAUCGGAAUCUACUUUUUCGUGGGGGAUAACGUAGGGAAACUUACGCUAAUACCGCAUACGACCUACGGGUGAAAGCAGGGGAUCUUCGGACCUUGCGCGAUUGAAUGAGACGAUGCCGGAUUAGCUAGUUGGCGGGGUAAAGGCCCACCAAGGCGACGAUCCGUAGCUGGUCUGAGAGGAUGAUCAGCCACACUGGAACUGAGACACGGUCCAGACUCCUACGGGAGGCAGCAGUGGGGAAUAUUGGACAAUGGGCGCAAGCCUGAUCCAGCCAUGCCGCGUGGGUGAAGAAGGCCUUCGGGUUGUAAAGCCCUUUUAUUGGGAAAGAAAAGCAGCAGGUUAAUACCCCGCUGUUCUGACGGUACCCAAAGAAUAAGCACCGGCUAACUUCGUG